UCUCUCUCUCUCUGACAUGUAGGACAUCUAUCUCUCUCUGACAUGUAGGACAUCUCUCUCUCUCUGACAUGUAGGACAUCUCUCUCUCUCUGACAUGUAGGACAUCUAUCUCUCUCUCUAUCUGACAUGUAGGACAUCUCUCUCUCUAUCUGACAUGUAGGACAUCUCUCUCUCUCUCUCUGACAUGUAGGACAUCUCUCUCUCUCUAUCUGACAUGUAGGACAUCUAUCUCUCUCUCUCUCAUGUCAUCUCUCUCUAUCUGACAUGUAGGACAUCUCUCUCUCUCUCUAUCUGACAUGUAGGACAUCUCUCUCUCUCUCUAUCUGACAUGUAGGACAUCUCUCUCUCUCUAUCUGACAUGUAGGACAUCUCUCUCUCUCUAUCUGACAUGUAGGACAUCUCUCUCUCUCUAUCUGACAUGUAGGACAUCUCUCUCUCUAUCUGACAUGUAGGACAUCUCUCUCUCUCUCUAUCUGACAUGUAGGACAUCUCUCUCUCUAUCUGACAUGUAGGACAUCUCUCUCUAUCUGACAUGUAGGACAUCUAUCUCUCUCUCUAUCUGACAUGUAGGACAUCUCUCUCUAUCUGACAUGACAUCUCUCUCUCUCUAUCUGACAUGUAGGACAUCUCUCUCUCUCUCUAUCUGACAUGUAGGACAUCUCUCUCUCUAUCUGACAUGUAGGACAUCUCUCUCUCUAUCUGACAUGUAGGACAUCUCUCUCUCUCUCUAUCUGACAUGUAGGACAUCUCUCUCUCUCUAUCUGACAUGUAGGACAUCUCUCUCUCUCUCUAUCUGACAUGUAGGACAUCUCUCUCUCUAUCUGACAUGUAGGACAUCUCUCUCUCUAUCUGACAUGUAGGACAUCUCUCUCUCUCUCUAUCUGACAUGUAGGACAUCUCUCUCUCUCUCUAUCUGACAUGUAGGACAUCUCUCUCUCUCUAUCUGACAUGUAGGACAUCUCUCUCUCUCUCUCUCUGACAUGUAGGACAUCUCUCUCUCUCUCUGACAUGUAGGACAUCUCUCUCUCUCUCUCUCUGACAUGACAUCUCUCUCUCUCUCUAUCUGACAUGUAGGACAUCUCUCUCUCUCUCUCUCUCUGACAUGUAGGACAUCUCUCUCUCUCUCUCUCUGACAUGUAGGACAUCUCUCUCUCUCUCUUUCUCUCCGACAUGUAGGACAUCUCUCUCUCUCUCUCUCUCUCUGACAUGUAGGACAUCUCUCUCUCUGACAUGUAGGACAUCUCUCUCUCUCUCUCUGACAUGUAGGACAUCUCUCUCUCUAUCUGACAUGUAGGACAUCUCUCUCUCUCUAUCUGACAUGUAGGACAUCUCUCUCUCUCUAUCUGACAUGUAGGACAUCUCUCUCUCUCUAUCUGACAUGUAGGACAUCUCUCUCUCUCUAUCUGACAUGUAGGACAUCUCUCUCUCUAUCUGACAUGUAGGACAUCUCUCUCUAUCUGACAUGUAGGACAUCUCUCUCUCUAUCUGACAUGUAGGACAUCUCUCUCUCUCUCUCUAUCUGACAUGUAGGACAUCUCUCUCUCUCUCUAUUUGACAUGUAGGACAUCUCUCUCUCUCUCUAUCUGACAUGUAGGACAUCUCUCUCUCUGACAUGUAGGACAUCUCUCUCUCUCUCUCUCU
ensembl:lncRNA